UACGUAGGGUGCAAGCGUUGUCCGGAAUUAUUGGGCGUAAAGAGCUCGUAGGCGGCUUGUCGCGUCGUCCGUGAAAACCUGCGGCUCAACUGCAGGCUGGCGGUCGAUACGGGCAGGCUGGAGUUCGGUAGGGGAGACUGGAAUUCCUGGUGUAGCGGUGAAAUGCGCAGAUAUCAGGAGGAACACCGGUGGCGAAGGCGGGUCUCUGGGCCG
rnacentral:rRNA from 1 species